UAUUUAUUUGGAUUAUUUUUUGUUUUUGUUUUAUUUUAUUUUGGUGUUUUCUUUUUCUUUUUGUUUCUUUUUCCUUUUCUUUUCUUUAUCUUUUUCUUUGUUUUCUUGCUGUUGUUUUUCUUUUUUGAUGUUAUUUUAUUUCUUAUCAUCCUCUUGUUGAUGUCCAUAGGCCUGGGUGAGCCGCUUUCCUCCCAGAAGAGACCCACCCAUAAUUUUGAUGUUCGUUAGGGGCCGAAAGGUGGAUGAUGUUUCUUAUAUUUUUCUUCAAUUGAUGUGUUUUUCUUCUUGUUUUUCUUUUCCGAUGUUUUUUUCUGUUCUCUUUUCUUCUUAUUUCUUUUCUUCGUGUUUUUUAAUGUUCUUUUAUUUCAUAUCAUCCUCUUGUUGAUGUUCUUCGUUGGUCUGGGUGAGCCGCUUUCCUCCCAGAAGAGACCCACCCAUAAUUUUGGUGAUGUUAGUUUGGGGCCGAAUGGUGGAUGAUGUUUCUUUGUAUGUUACUUUUCUUGAUGUAGUUCUGUUAUUGCUGUUACUUUUCUUUUGCGAUGUUUUUUUGCUCCUUUUUCCCCUAUUUUUUGGUGUUCUUUUCUAUAUCAUCCCUCUUUGAUGUUCUUCGUUGGUCUGGGUGAGCCUCUUUCUCCCCAGAAAAGACCCACCCAUAAUUUUGAUGAUGUUAGUUUGGGGCCGAAUGGUGGAUGAUGUUUCUUUGUAUGUUACUUUUCUUGGCGUUGUUCUGUUAUUGUUGUUACUUUUCUUUUGCGAUGUUUUUUUCUCUUUUUCCCAUUUUUUUGGUGUUCAUUUCUUUAUCAUCCCUUUUUGAUGUUCUUUGGUCUGGAUGAGCCUCUUUCUCCCCAGAAAAGACUCACCCAUAAUUUUGGAGAUGUUAGGGCCUGAAGGUGGAUGAUCUGUGUUUUUUAUUUUAUUUUCUUGAUGUUUUGUUUCUAUAUUUUCCUUUUUCUGGUGUUCCUUUUUAUUUUCCUUUUCUUUGGUGUUCCCAUCACGUGGAUUGUCUACGACAUCUAACGAGCACCACAAGCCCCGGUUUAUUGUUCGGAGUUUGCUCUCCUAGGCAGACUGCCUACCACGGCUGACGAGCUCCACCUGCCCGGGUUUAUUGUUCGGAGUUUGCUCUCCUAGGUGUAUUACCUAUGACGGCUCACGAGCCCAACCUGCCCGGGUUUAUUGUUCGGAGUUUGCUCUCCUAGGUGUAUUACCUAUGACGGCUCACGAGCCCAACCUGCCCGGGUUUAUUGUUCGGAGUUUGCUCUCCUAGGUGUAUUGCCUAUGACGGCUCACGAGCCCAACCUGCCCGGGUUUAUUGUUCGGAGUUUGCUCUCCUAGAUGAAUUGCUUUCGCUAACGACCUCCACCUGCCCGGGUUUGUAAUCGGAGUUUGCUCUCCUAGAUGAAUUGCUUUCGCUAACGACCUCCACCUGCCCGGGUUUAUUGUUCGGAGUUUGCUCUCCUAGGUGUAUUACCUAUGACGGCUCACGAGCCCAACCUGCCCGGGUUUAUUGUUCGGAGUUUGCUCUCCUAGGUGAAUUGCCUACCACGGCUAACGAACCUCACCUGCCCGGGUUUGUUGUUCGGAGUUUGCUCUCCUAGGUGAAUUGCCUACCACGGCUAACGAACCUCACCUGCCCGGGUUUAUUGUUCGGAGUUUGCUCUCCUAGGUGAAUUGCCU